rnacentral:rRNA from 1 species
UGGGGAUGCGUCCGAUUAGCUUGUUGGCGGGGUAACGGCCCACCAAGGCAUCGAUCGGUAGGGGUUCUGAGAGGAAGGUCCCCCACACUGGAACUGAGACACGGUCCAGACUCCUACGGGAGGCAGCAGUGAGGAAUAUUGGUCAAUGGCCGUAAGGCUGAACCAGCCAAGUAGCGUGAGGGAAGACUGCCCUAUGGGUUGUAAACCUCUUUUAUGCGGGGAUAAAGGUGUCCACGUGUGGAUGUUUGCAGGUACCGCAUGAAUAAGGACCGGCUAAUUCCGUGCCAGCAGCCGCGGUAAUACGGAAGGUCCGGGCGUUAUCCGGAUUUAUUGGGUUUAAAGGGAGCGUAGGCCGGUCUUUAAGCGUGCCGUGAAAUUUUGUGGCUCAACCAUGAGAGUGCGGCGCGAACUGGAGACCUUGAGUGCGCGGAAGGCAGGCGGAAUUCGUGGUGUAGCGGUGAAAUGCUUAGAUAUCACGAAGAACCCCGAUUGCGAAGGCAGCCUGCCGCAGCGUUACUGACGCUGAAGCUCGAAAGCGCGGGUAUCGAACAGGAUUAGAUACCCUGGUAGUCCGCGCGGUAAACGAUGGAUGCCCGCUGUCGGCGAUAUACAGUCG